rnacentral:rRNA from 1 species
AAGCAUAUCAAUAAGCGGAGGAAAAGAAACCAACAGGGAUUGCCUCAGUAACGGCGAGUGAAGCGGCAACAGCUCAAAUUUGAAAUCUGGUCCUUGCGGCCCGAGUUGUAAUUUGCAGAGGAUGCUUUUGGCGCGGUGCCUUCCAAGUUCCCUGGAACGGGACGCCUUAGAGGGUGAGAGCCCCGUACGGUUGGACACCAAGCCUUUGUAAAGCUCCUUCGACGAGUCGAGUAGUUUGGGAAUGCUGCUCUAAAUGGGAGGUAUAUUUCUUCUAAAGCUAAAUACCGGCCAGAGACCGAUAGCGCACAAGUAGAGUGAUCGAAAGAUGAAAAGCACUUUGAAAAGAGGGUUAAACAGCACGUGAAAUUGUUAAAAGGGAAGCGCUUGUGACCAGACUUGCGCCCGGUGAAUCACCCAGCUCUCGCGGCUGGGGCACUUUGCCGGCUCAGGCCAGCAUCAGCUUGCCGUCGGGGACAAAAGCUUCGGGAACGUAGCUCUCUUCGGGGAGUGUUAUAGCCCGUUGCAUAAUACCCUUCGGCGGGCUGAGGUACGCGCUCCGCAAGGAUGCUGGCAUAAUGGUCAUCAGCGACCCGUCUUGAAACACGGACCAAGGAGUCAACCUUAUGUGC